rnacentral:rRNA from 1 species
UACAGAGGUCCCAAGCGUUGUUCGGAUUCACUGGGCGUAAAGGGUGCGUAGGUGGUUAGGUAAGUCCGAUGUGAAAUCUCCAGGCUCAACCUGGAAAUGGCAUUGGAUACUAUCUAGCUUGAGGAGUGGAGGGGGGACUGGAAUUCUCGGUGUAGCAGUGAAAUGCGUAGAUAUCGAGAGGAACACCAGUGGCGAAGGCGAGUCCCUGGACACUUCCUGACACUGAGGCACGAAAGCUAGGGGGAGCAAACAGG